rnacentral:rRNA from 1 species
GAUGAACGCUGGCGGCGUGCCUAAUACAUGCAAGUCGAACGAAACUUCUCUAUCACCGAGUGCUUGCACUCACCGAUAAAGAGUUGAGUGGCGAACGGGUGAGUAACACGUGGGCAACCUGCCCAAAAGAGGGGGAUAACACUUGGAAACAGGUGCUAAUACCGCAUAACCAUAGUUACCGCAUGGUAACUAUGUAAAAGGUGGCUAUACUACCGCUUUUGGAUGGGCCCGCGGCGCAUUAGCUAGUUGGUAGGGUAAAGGCUUACCAAGGCAAUGAUGCGUAGCCGAAUUGAGAGGUUGAUCGGCCACAUUGGGACUGAGACACGGCCCAAACUCCUACGGGAGGCAGCAGUAGGGAAUCUUCCACAAUGGGCGAAAGCCUGAUGGAGCAACGCCGCGUGGGUGAAGAAGGUCUUCGGAUCGUAAAACCCUGUUGUUAGAGAAGAAAGUGCGUGAGAGUAACUGUUCACGUUUCGACGGUAUCUAACCGGAAAGCCACGGCUAACUACGUG